rnacentral:RNase_P_RNA from 1 species
GAGAGAGGAAGGGCAGCUGCCGGUCUCCUCGAGUUACUGAGGAGACUGAGGAAAGUCCCCCCACCAACCGUAAGUAAGGACACGAACGCCGAGAGGGCGUAAGGCGAGAGUCUUGGCUCUGGUAUAGAAACGAGACCGUGCCAUACCAACGUGAUGAUUCCGCAAGGAGGAAGUCGUAUGGUGACGGCUGGAACGACCAUCCUCGUGGGUGCAAGCCUGAGAAAGGCGCGUAGAUAAAUGCUGCCGAAACAGAAGGGGGCUUACUCUCCUCACUC